rnacentral:lncRNA from 1 species
CCUUCUUCUUCCUCUUUCUCUCCUAUCUCAUCAAGGAAGCUCAAGUCUAAGUUCAGAAAAUGCACAACCACCUUCCGAUGGUAGAUAUCCAAGUUGGUACUGAAGGCCUCAUGAUUGAAGAUACAUUUCUCCUCUGAAAACUUAGCAGACGCAUGGAAGGCUUCCAUAGCCAUGCAUCCGGCUUUGGCAGUCUGAUCCUUGGCCUUCUUCUCAACAUCGACAGCUUUGGCCUGCGCCUCC